GAUGAAGAACGUAGCGAAAUGCGAUAAGUAAUGUGAAUUGCAGAAUUCAGUGAAUCAUCGAAUCUUUGAACGCACAUUGCGCCCGCUAGUAUUCUGGCGGGCAUGCCUGUCCGAGCGUCAUUUCAACCCUCAAGCCCCCGGGCUUGGUGUUGGGGAUCGGCGAGCCUCCGCGCCCGCCGUCCCCUAAAUCUAGUGGCGGUCUCGCUGUAGCUUCCUCUGCGUAGUAGCACACCUCGCACUGGGAAACAGCGCGGCCACGCCGUUAAACCCCCAACUUCUGAACGUUUGACCUCGGAUCAGGUAGGAAUACCCGCUGAACUUAAGCAUAUCAAGCGGAGGA
rnacentral:misc_RNA from 1 species